rnacentral:lncRNA from 12 species
AUCUAACACACUAGAUGCAGUCCUGAAAACCCUUGCUUUGCACAAUAUCAAACAUCAUCUAUAAGUGGGCUUCUGAGAAAAAGAGUUGUGCGAAACAUUUAAACCCUCUUGAAAUUUGUGUCAAUAUCACUAACACAAUUGAGCUUUUCUAUUUAAAAUUCUAGCACAGUUUUAAAGAUUGUAAAUUGCUAGUAAGGGAAGAAAAUCAUUGUAAAUAUAAAGUUUUUCAUUUUUUAGAAAGAUGUUGGUGGAUGGAUAAAAGACUGUGUAAGAAAGGCUCAGCCUGCUCGGGUCCGACCAUAAGCUUAAAAUACAAAUAAUCACAAAGAGCUGCAUAAAAAGCACUUCACGACUUGAUCACACGAGGAAAUGAGCCCAGAGAAAGAGUGAGGAAUGGGCGGGCCUCGAGGAGCCCGAGUCGCCGGGCGGUCUGGUGCUUCACCUGUUGCCCGACUUGCGCUCAGCGGGGAGUCCGCGGUGGCCCACAGUGCGGACAGAAGACCCAACGAGCGACAGAUGCGAUCAUUUAUGCUUCCUUGCGCAGGGAGGGAAGUGCUACCCAUGGGCAAACCCAUGGAGAUGUGUCACCUUUGACAUUGUUCUGUAUCAACCAACUCACCCUUUGGAAGCUACAGUACGGAUAUUUCUGCGUUCAUUUACCAGAUCUCGGAAGACUUUACACAAUAUCAUUCUUUUUUUUUUUUUUUUUUUUUUUUUUUGCCUACAUACAAACCUAUCCCUACUAUUUUUCUCUCAAAAGAAUUCCAGAAGUGCCAUGUAGUAUUUCUCUUUUAUUGUUCAUGCCUCUAAACUGUCACCAGAGCUUGCCUCACGAUAGUCCUAAAUUGUUGCUUCUUCUCAGUGAGGGUGAGGUUUCCUUGGGGGAAUAUAUUACAUGUCAAGAAUUAGUCAAGCAAUUUUUAAUUAGCACAAAACGCUUUUCCUUUAAGCGGUCUUCUUAGAAAAGCUUGCAUCUUGCUUUUGCAGCAGUAAGCUGUAUAGAUUUUUUAAGCAAACAAGCAAACUUUCCUCCCUUUCUGUCUUUGUCCUCAUUAUGAAAUGCGUCCUGGGCCCCUCCAGCUGUGCUGGCUGCGGGUCAGCGAUGUGAGUCACUGCCUGAUGUUCUCUGUACACGAACAGGAAUUAACGCAAGGGGAAAAAAAGGAUGCUCUCCUCGGAUUU